rnacentral:rRNA from 1 species
GACGAACGCUGGCGGCGUGCUUAACACAUGCAAGUGGAGCGACGAACCGGGCUUCGGCCCGGGGCAAAGCCGCGAACGGGUGAGUAUCACGUGGGUAACCUGCCCCGAUGACCGGGACAACCCGAGGAAACUCGGGCUAAUACCGGAUGUGCUCCUCGCACACCAGUGCGAGGAGGAAAGGAAGCUUCGGCCUGACGCUUAGGGAUGGGCUCGCGUCUUAUCAGCUAGUUGGUAGGGUAACGGCCUACGAAGGCUAAGACGGGUAGCUGGUCUGAGAGGAUGGUCAGCCACACUGGGACUGAGACACUGCCCAGACUCCUACGGGAGGCUGCAGUCGAGAAUCUUUCGCAAUGGGGGCAACCCUGACGAUGCGACGCCGCGUGCAGGAUGAAGGCUUUCGGGUCGUAAACUGCUGUUGAAUGGGAAGAAAGCUCUUUAUUGAACAAAUAAAGGGGUUGACGGUACCAUUAGAGGAAGCCACGGCUAACUACGUGCCAGCCGCCGCCGUAAUAC